CGCCCGGCCUCCCCGCGGCAGCCGCCGUCAGACCGGACAAACGGGUUCCCCCAGCUGGCCGGGCCGGCCCCGCCGCGCAGGAGGAGGGGAGGGGCCGCGCCGGCCCCGGACCUGUUGCCAUUCCCAUCGCACCAGGCUGCAGAAAAAUACAUGUAAACAUCUCCGGAGCUUACUGUGAACUCGUCAAAUGAACAUGACAAGCUCCAACUGAUCUAAAAGGUCAUCUUUUCGGGAUCCACUGCUGCUCCUCCUGAAACUUCAGGCAUGAUGAGGUGGAGCUGUGACUCUGCCAGGAGAAUACAAAAGAUUGUGGAAAAGAUCCAUUUUGGCUGACCUGCCUUGAAUUCUACUAGGAGCGAAUUCCUGAGGUCGUCUGAAUUUGUGGGACGUCUGCCUGGGAUUAUCAGCACCACAGUCAUCUGAAUAAAACGAAGAUUUAUUAAACACAGACGGAACAUGAAAUCCAAGUGAAAGAAACAGUUUGCAUAACAAAUCUCCUGAGAUUUGCAUUUCUCCUAAACUGAGCAAGGAGAAGCAAUCGGAGCCCUCUGCACGCCGCGGCAGUCGGAGCAGCUCGGAGGGUUACAGCUGGGGAAGCCGCGGCCGG